rnacentral:misc_RNA from 1 species
CGUUGCAAAAAUUUCUCCCUCUGAUCAGGUGCUAUUUCAGUUCUUGCACGAAAUUGUCCCAGUUCAUUCUGAUUUUGAAAGGAACCUCCAGGUCUCCACUGCAUGCCAGGGACCAAAGAAGGGGAAAAAACUCUUCCACCUAUUGCAGGAGCUUCACCAACAUUACUAGAGUCAACCAUACCUGUUCCAUCAUUAGUCUUGCCAGUCGGAGGCAAGAUCAUUCUAUUGCUUAGUGGGGAAGCCAAAGGUUGCACCAGUCCGCUACUCCCAAGUCUAUCAUCUGUUGAUAAAAUAUUUCUUUUUGUAACGUCCGAUGGUGAAGGUAGUGCACCGAGUGAUCCAUUGCUAGGAACUCCACCAGAACUAAGAGGGAUACUAGAUGAAGGAUGACUAGAGAGGCUACCUCUACCAAUGCCCCUAACUAGUCCAGUAUCAGCAAGAGCUGGUGACGGUCUAUGGCCAGGGAAACCUGCAAUUUCUUCCUCCUUCACAGAAUUUCCCGUUGUUGCAGGAGAUGAAGGAAUGGCAGCAGCUGCAUUUUCCAGUACACCUUGAACAGAACUUGCACCUGGAAGAAUUGAAGAGGCUGAUACACUAGAUAAUGUAUGAGCUGGAACACCGACAGAAACAGGAGUUGCAUGAUUCACAGUUGGUAUUGAAGCUGCAGAAGAACCAAUCAUGCUACUCUUGGCAGGUGGAGUUCUUGCAACAAUGUCAGGAUUACUAUCCUGUGAAGCUGUAUCAUCAGCUUGCUCCUGAACCAAAGUAGCCUGCUGAUGAGUAGACGUGGCAGUUGCAGGCAUUUGAGAUGCUGAAGCUGCUAAAGAUGUCUUCAAGCUGUGAACUGGUGCAACCUUGACAAGACCAGGAGUACCAAUUGUAACAAGAUCUUCAAGAGACUCCACCUUGUCCAAUGGCAAUGAGCUGUAAAGCUCAUCAACAUCACUAAAUUCAUCAAAGUCCUCCUGAUUACGUUCCACAUAGUCGUCCAGGAAGUCUUUAACAUCAUUGACCUGCUCAGGACUCAAUUCAUCGUUAUCCAGUAGCCUCAAGAUCCAUUCUAACUUCAUAAUAUGAGCCUUGUGCCGCACGAUAGAUGUCUCUAAAUGCGUCAAUCUAGGUGGUCUUGUCUUCCCUUUCUUAACAGAUAGCCCCUCAAUUUCAGAUUCAAAGCUAUCAAUCUGUGAUUCCAACUCUCCAACCACAUUGUUUAACCAAUCCCUUGUUUCUGAUUUAGCCUUCUCCUUUGGAUCAGUUUUCGGUUGUUGGCCCAGCCCUUCUUUAGAAAAUGCCUUUGUUUUUGUUUCCUUCUCGCAGAUCUUAAAUCUCUCCAUUUCACGCUCAAUUUGCUUACGAGCAUCCACUAAAGCCUGCUCAUAAGAGGCACUAACCUUCUUAUCCUUGAUCUCACUAGAUUGAAUCCAUGUUUUGAUUUGAUCCCUGUACCUCUGCAGCUUUUUUAUCUCCUUCUUUAAGUCCGCCUCAAAUUUCUCUUUCUGAUUUGCGUUGUCUGUAUCAUAAACCUUGUUCCAGAUGCUGUCAAAGACAUCGACGCCUUCUUGGACCUUCUUCAGAACGCGAUCAAUCUCGCCUUGAAGCUUGCGGCUUGCUCCCAUUGUGCAAAUAGAGAACCGUGAAUAGAAUAGCGGGUUUUAUCAUCCAAAAAGAGAAAGACUCGGAUGGUUUUUAUUUUUUUUUUUCCUAUUAGCGUAAUCAGUGCUAGGGUUUUGUUUUUGUUUCUUCUCUUUGGGUGUAGAUAUUAGGAAGAGACGAAGAUAGCAAUGGCAAUGAAAGUAAAAGCAGUUGACAGUCCAGAAGUGAAGGAAAGGUAUGUCCUUAGAUCGGCGUGUUUCGUUUGUGACAGUGACAGGGCUCUUUGGGCUUUUCGGAGAUUUGGGCUUCAACCUUUGUGGGCUCUACGGACACUCGGAUUCUGAAUUUUGGACUUGGUUGUUGGUUUUCAUUUCCAAUUUCAAUUUUUUUUACUUU